rfam:Ictidomys tridecemlineatus contig023776, whole genome shotgun sequence.
GGUCCACUGAAACUUGACUGAGAAGACCCAACGUAUGUGUUGAUGUAAUGUGAUUUCUGUGCAGUGUCUUAAAUAUCAACAUGAAGAAAUUUAAUGAAGCACAAGUUAAAUGGCAGGAAUAACUGUAACUCUUUUUACACAAUCAAAUAUUUGGUAAACUAAUUAGUGAUAUACAUGAAAGGGUGA